AUGCAUGUCUAAGUACAAGCCGAUUUAAGGCGAAACCGCGAAUGGCUCAUUAAAUCAGCUAUGAUUCAUUGGAUCUGUACCCACACUUACUUGGAUAACUGUGGUAAUUCUAGAGCUAAUACAUGCACCACGUCUCUGACCGCAAGGGAAGAGCGCUUUUAUUAGUUCAAAACCGGUCGGGCCUCGGUCCGUCACCCCACCGUGUUGAAUCUGAAUAACUUGUCGCUGAGCGCACGGUCUCCGCACCGGCGCCGCCUCUUUCAAGUGUCUGCCUUAUCAGCUUUCGAUUGUAGGUUAUGCGCCUACAAUGGCUAUAACGGGUAACGGGGAAUCAGGGUUCGAUUCCGGAGAGGGAGCCUGAGAAACGGCUACCACAUCUAAGGAAGGCAGCAGGCACGCAAAUUACCCACUCCCGGCACGGGGAGGUAGUGACGAAAAAUAACGAUGCGAGACUCAUCCGAGGCCUCGCAAUCGGAAUGAGUACACUUUAAAUCCUUUAACGAGGAUCUAUUGGAGGGCAAGUCUGGUGCCAGCAGCCGCGGUAAUUCCAGCUCCAAUAGCGUAUAUUAAAGUUGUUGCGGUUAAAAAGCUCGUAGUUGGAUUUCAGUUCUGGACUGAUGGUUCACCGCCCGGUGCACACCGUCACGCUCCGAACAGCCACAACAGCCCGCUGGCUCGCACGGGGUGCUCUUCAUCGAGUGUCCCGCGUGGCCGGCAGAGUUUACUUUGAAAAAAUUAGAGUGCUCAAAGCAGGCUACACUGACGGCCUGAAUG
rnacentral:rRNA from 1 species